rnacentral:rRNA from 1 species
AUCGAACGCUGGCGGCAGGCCUAACACAUGCAAGUCGAGCGGAGCGGCGGACGGGUGAGUAAUGCCUAGGAAUCUGCCUGGUAGUGGGGGAUAACGUCCGGCAACGGGCGCUAAUACCGCAUACUAUCAGAUGAGCCUAGGUCGGAUUAGUUAGUGGGUGGGGUAAAGGCCUACCAGGGCGACGAUCCGUAACUGGUCUGAGAGGAUGAUCGGUCACACUGGAACGGAGACACGGUCCAGCCGCUUACGGGAGGCAGCAUGGGGGAAGUUUGGACAAGGGGCGAAAGCCGGAUCCAGCCAUGCCGCUUGUGUGAAGAAGGUCUUCGGAUUGUAAAGCACUUUAAGUUGGGAGGCGUUACCAACAGAAUAAGCACCGGCUAACUUCGUGCCAGCAGCCGCGGUAAUUC